AUGACCUUACUUGAACAGGAUCUUUUUUGUAGGAUUGUAUUUCGGAAUCCUUGAGCUCUAAGGAGUCAGGACCCAACAUCUAGUGGAUGAACAAAGGCCUCUUGACCAAAACGUGAUUAGUGGCUUUGUGGUGCAGCUUGUUAGUCCACAGUUACACAGGGGAACAUUCUCUGCUAAUGCAAACUAGUUGUGAGGGUCAAGUAGUUGUUUGACAAAUU